UACGAGGGCCCCGAGCGUUAUCCGGAAUUAUUGGGCGUAAAGGGUGUGUAGGCGGCUAUGUUAGUCUUGUGUAAAAGCCUCUGGCCUAACCAGAGAUCUGCAUGGGAUACGGCAUAUGCUGAGAGGGUGCAAGAGGUGUAUGGAACUCACGGUGUAGGGGUGAAAUCCGUUGAUAUCGUGGGGAACGCCAAAAGCGAAGGCAGUACACUGGUGCAUACCUGACGCUGAAACACGAAAGCCAGGGUAGCGAAUGGG
rnacentral:rRNA from 1 species